UUAACACAUGCAAGUCGAACGAUGAUCCCUAGCUUGCUGGGGGGAUUAGUGGCGAACGGGUGAGUAACACGUGAGUAACCUGCCCUUAACUCUGGGAUAAGCCUGGGAAACUGGGUCUAAUACUGGAUAUUGACUUUUCACCGCAUGGUGGUUGGUUGAAAGAUUUAUUGGUUUUGGAUGGACUCGCGGCCUAUCAGCUUGUUGGUGAGGUAAUGGCUCACCAAGGCGACGACGGGUAGCCGGCCUGAGAGGGUGACCGGCCACACUGGGACUGAGACACGGCCCAGACUCCUACGGGAGGCAGCAGUGGGGAAUAUUGCACAAUGGGCGAAAGCCUGAUGCAGCGACGCCGCGUGAGGGAUGACGGCCUUCGGGUUGUAAACCUCUUUCAGUAGGGAACAAGGCCAGUGUUUAGUUGGUUGAGGGUACCUGCAGAAGAAGCGCCGGCUAACUACGUGCCAGCAGCCGCGGUAAUACGUAGGGCGCAAGCGUUAUCCGGAAUUAUUGGGCGUAAAGAGCUCGUAGGCGGUUUGUCGCGUCUGCCGUGAAAGUCCGGGGCUCAACUCCGGAUCUGCGGUGGGUACGGGCAGACUAGAGUGAUGUAGGGGAGACUGGAAUUCCUGGUGUAGCGGUGAAAUGCGCAGAUAUCAGGAGGAACACCGAUGGCGAAGGCAGGUCUCUGGGCAUUAACUGACGCUGAGGAGCGAAAGCAUGGGGAGCGAACAGGAUUAGAUACCCUGGUAGUCCAUGCCGUAAACGUUGGGC
rnacentral:rRNA from 1 species